rnacentral:lncRNA from 1 species
CAUAAUUACGUACUCCCUGAGCGUUUGUUGCACCCCAUCGUUACUUCUCAAGAACAAAGGUACAAUAAUGCAAUGAUAUCCCUUAUUCCAAAAAAAAAGUAUAUAUAUACUUAGUAUCAUCAAUAAAUGCUGUUAUGGUAGAUAGAGUUUAGGGUUUGAAGCAUUAUGCUAGCAUUGAUGAAGUUGUAAUCUUAUUGUAAGCAUGAUACAAUAAAUGCUAGCAUGAUACAUAAGUUGUAUCAUACUUGUGUAUUGUCGAUGCAAUAUUCUUUCACCUGAAUAUGAUUCAUUCAUUGGGAUUUUAGGUGAUUCAAGUUGCAAAAAUGAUCAUUUGCUUUAGUGAAUUUUUGGGUAGCCUUACUAGAAUAUUUCAAAAUGGUUGUUCGUGUGGGCAUGAUAAGUGACCAUUCGGUAAAAACAUUGCUUCCUUUAAUGCACUGUCCAAGUGAGAGAAUGAAUAAGACUCUUUGGCAGCCUUCUAGAAGAUGGUUAUUGAUCAUUCAUAUGCUCAAUUGAAUGCCACAAUCUACAAAUGAGCUAAAUGUGCUUCUUGAUGAAAUGGUUUAAUGAAUACCAUUUUGGUUGUUCUAUUAUAGAGAAGAUAUUAACACAUCUUAAUUGUUAAGUGAAGUUCAUGUACAUCAUUUAAGGCUGAAUUUAGCCAUCCAUCUACUAGGUGUUCUAUAUAUAUUUCAUUUUUAUCGUUGUUGUAAGGUUAGACUAUUUUUUUUAUCAAAAAUACAUUUUGAGUUUCAAUUCUUUUUUCUUUUUAGAACUUCCUGAACUUAUCAAGAAUUCCAUUCUUGUGGCAUUCACCAAACCCAAUCUUAUCACUUAAACCUAUUCCAAAGUGUGGCGAUCAUCAUAUACCUUUGGUUCCUAUCUCAAUAUAUAUAGUGGGUCAAGGUUUCAUCCAUUUCCAAACUUUGCGAGUUUAAGCAAUCUUAUAGAAUUUGGAUCGCGUUGUUUUAUAACAUCGAUUCUUUUCUAGUUCGUUUAAGUUCGUAAGUUAUAUCCUAAAUUUACCUUACUGUUUAUUUUUCUUCAUAAUUAACCAUAUUUCGAGUAAGUGCUUGUUUAGAUGAUCAAGACCAUUCAAACCACGAAUCAAAUUUCAAACUCAUAACCAGGUUCACGUCAACUUUAUUCGUUGUUUAAUCAAAUUUAUCUUCUGCACAAUUUGUCAAACUAAAUUUUUAACCCAGAAUAAAUGUUGUUAGUUUAGAAUAUAUAUCAGAAGUUGUAAGAUUUUGCUUUUUCAUUUUCGUGUCUUAGUUGUAGAAUUUGUCUUUAUCAUAAAAUUAGUUAAUAAGAAAUUAUUUCUUUUCUUAACCAAAGAAAAUUAUGUUCGGAUUGCUGGGAUUAAUCUUUUUAAUUUCACACACCUUAAGGAAACUGUUACAGAUAUUGUCACAAAAUUUAAAUUAAUAUGUUAACAUAUAUGUAAUCAUAUUUUUCAUAAAUUUAAAUUAAAUAAACGUCAGAAUAAAAAUAUGUAGUAAAGUAGUAGUGGCCACUAGUAAACCUCUAAAGUUUAAAGGCAGUACAUGCAUGUUUUUUAUAAGGAUUUUAAAUUAUCAAAUAUAUAUGGUUGAGGUUGAUUAAGUUUUACCAUUGAUGGUGAAGGAAAUAAGCACGGUACCAUUAACGGCGUUAAUGUCGACAUGUAGAAUUUCAAGCGAGAGGUGUUUAAGGCAGACAUUAUUUCGAUUAGCUGACGAGAAAACUAAGGAGACACCAUCAUUAAAAGAAAUUUUUUUCCUGAAAACUUCACUUUCACGUUGACUGUUGGAGACUUGGAGUUUGCAACGAGCUCGUUAGUAUCAUCCACGCCAUAGCCAUGAUGAUUUCAUGGUUUGAGUCCCUUGUUGAGUAAAUAAACUUGGCUUAAAACAGCCGUGAACUAUUUUGAUGCCCAAUUCUUUGAAAGCUUAUAUAUCUGAGACAGUCUUAAAACAGAUGCUGAAGUAGUUGGAGAUAUGCCCCUAAAAUGUUAGUAAAGAAAAUGUAACAUCUAUGUUCCACCCAUUUUAGUAAAGAAAAUUAGUUAAUAGGGAGUACUUGAUGAUAAGAUUGGAUGACUUUAUGCAUAAGUAAUCAUUGAUCCUAUCUAACCAUCCUUCUAAUUUACUUAUCCAGCAACAUUCUAUUGGUCUAGAUGCCUCAAAGAAUACAUAUCAUAGUGGCUUUGGCAGAGCACAAAUCUCUAGUUACUACAGUAACACAUUCUGAACCUAUUUAAACCUUUAUGAAGUCAUUCAUUAGAUAAUAUCAAUGAGAACAAGAGCAAAAAAUGGCUAAUGCUAUACUAAUACAAUGUCUGUUUGUUGACACGAGGGUUUCAUCUGUCUGUUGACAUAAUUUUUGUUUUUAGUCCUUUUGUUUUGAUUCUAGAGUGAUUUGUUUUGUUGUCUUCUUUGUGAUGAAAGAAGAUUUGGCUAAUCUGAAUUUGGUUGAUGAGGAAGAGGAUGCAUUCCAGGAGGAUACUGUGGCGGUUGAUUAGAACUAUCAUCUCAGUUUGGUAGGACGUUGUUUGACUGAUAGUGUUGUUCAUUUUUCCUUUUUACGAAAUACUUUGACAGAUCCUUGGCACCCUAUCAGGGGAAUCUGUAUUUCUGACUUGGGAGAGAAACGGUACCUUUUUCAAUUCUUUCAUGAGGUUGAAGUUCAAAGAGUAGUUGUAGGAACACCAUGGAUUUUUAACAAUCAUUUACUAUUGCUUCAUAGAAUUCAAUCGGGGAAAAAUCUGUUGCUGGUCUCGUUAAAUUUAUCAGAAUUCUGAGCCCAAAUUUAUGACCUUCCCCCGGGAUUAAUGACUGAAUCUAUGGCCAAACAAAUUGGGAAUUUUAUAAGGCAGUUUCUUAACUAUGACACGGCGUUUCAGUCAAUGGGUUUUCAAAUUUUUAUGCAUAUUCGGGUUCGAUUAGAUGUGUCAAUCCCAUUGAAAAAGAAGAAGAAGAUUCUAAUCGGCAAUGAUCGGGUUGUCUAUGCUAGAUUUCAGUAUGAAAAACUCAGUUUGUCUUGUUUCAUUUGUGGCAAGCUUGGGCAUGGUGAGAGUUUUUGCCCAUUUCGUACCACAAUCGAGCCAUCCAAAAUAGUUUUUGGUUGGGAUAUCUCCUUACGUGCAACGGUGCAUCAGGCGAAAUACAAUGGUUAGCAAGUGGCUUUGGGAAGUAGAUGGAUCAGAAUGCGGUAUGUUGAAUAAGGAAAGAGAAAAUCAAGACAACAUUUUAGGGGAAGGGAGGGAUUCUGGGCAUAAUCGUGGGAGUGAUUCGGCUAAAUCUUACAAAAUCCCAUUUUGACUCGUCUUGGAUAUGAUCAAAUGAUGUUAAUUAAAGGAAUUGAUAAAUGGCCAAAUAUGGAUGCUAGGGAGCAGUCUAGGGCCAAAUGUGGAAAUGGGCCUAUGGAUUUACAAGUGGAUAAAGAAAAUAACCCGCUUCAUUCUAUUGAAGGAAAGAAACACCAGCGUGUGCUGAGUGCUUCAGCUAAUCUUCCAAGCAUUGCCUCUGUUGGAGGGAAUCAUGAUAUAUCGACUAGCUUUGAAGGGCAGAGCAGUCGAAUGCAAUGAAGUUCCUUAGCUGGAAUGUUCGUGGUUGGGGGAGGUCACGGACGGUUAACAAACUCAAAAAUAGAUUAAGGGCCAUUAAUCCCCAAAUUUUGUUUCUUAUGGAAACAAAGUUGGAAACACAAAAAUUUACACACUUUUUCAUACCUUUUUUAACUUAAAUUCAUACGAAUUCGGUUAAAUUCUUGUCGAAAUUAAUUAAAUUUUAUAAAAUAAUUAAAGUGAACUUAAAAUAUGAACUUAUUGAAUUUUAGUUAAUUUUAUAAUUAAUUUUGGUUAUUUUCGACAGAAUUGCACAAAAGGCGAAAAAUGGCUCGGUAGACACUGCUAGAAGCACAAAACCGAGAGCCAAUUUGAAGUAUUGAGGCUAACUAAAUUUCAUCCUAAGACGGUCCAAAAUUAUAUGUAUUUAUUCAUAAUAUAAGUAAUUUUAAUUUAUAUCAAAUUUAAUCUGGGUUAAUAAAUUAUGAUUAAUUAAUUAUGAAAAAGUGGUCCGAUUGAACCGAACCGAGUGAACCGAACCAGCCAAGAAAAGGACAACCCAAAACCGUCCAAGUGCUGACCCAAUUCAGCUUAUUAGCUGAUUAUUUAAGCUGCAAAGAAGCCCUUUAAGACUUCUUCAAAUUGCAAUGCAACCCCUCCACAAUUGGUGGCUUUGAAGAUUUGCCCCAAGCCAUAUUUAGCAAAGUUGAAGCCAUCAACUUUGCCACGUAGGUGGCCAGCCAAGGGGUGGCUCUUUGGCUACUAUUUUUAGCAAAUUUUAGCUGCCACAUUCAGCUAUAAAAACCCCUUUGGCUGAUCAUUCAAAGCAUUUCUCAUUCAUUCACAUCUCUCCUCUCCUCUCUCACUUUCUCCUCUCAUUUUCCCAUUCCAAGUCCCUUACUCUCUUGUCGAUUUCUCCUAUUGAAAAAGGGGCAUUCAUCAGCCAUUUUGGAGCAACACCGAAGUGUUCAUAGCAGCCUUGAUCGGCUAGGACAACAAAGAACGAAGACGGAGGAAACUAGUCAAGCCACGGAGAAACAUCGGAUUUGAUUCUUGUUCCCUAUCUCUUUAAUUUUUGUUGUUGUUAUGAUGAACAUAUCUAUGAAUAUUUAUGUUGUUGGAAUGGUUAAUUUAAUCAGCUUAGCUUGAAUUUAAUUUGUGUUGGUUUGAUUGCAUUUCAUAUGCUUAAAUUAUUAAAAUUGUGUUUAUGCUGUUGUAGGCCUCGGUAAAAUGCUUGAUUAAGUAAAAUCAUGCUUAAGUUAUUCUUGCAUUACGAUUGUGUGGAAGCUAAUAAAUUAAUUAUUUAAACAGAUUGAAAUUGUAAUUAAUUGACACAAUACUUAGUUAGUGCAUGUUUAUUCUUCUAAGGUAGCUGAAGGUUAAAUUAACAAUGUAUCUGGCGAUACACUUGCCUUGUAUACUUGCAAGAUUAGUGAUUAAACUAUUUCAAGGUAAGAAUAACUUGUUACCUCACAUAGUCUUUUAUGUGCUUAUUAGAUUUAAUUAAUCGUUUGAAUUAAUAUAGGGAUAUGCAAGAGAUUAGUUCAAUUUAAUGAGUAUGUAUGUGCAAUAACAUGUUUGCUUAUUAAGAUCUAUUUAACCGUUUGAAUUAACAUAGGGAUAUGUUAAGAGAUGAAUGGAUUUGUGUAGGUGAGUAUGUUCAUAAGUUAGAAAAUUACCGAGUUGCCGUGAAUUUAUUCAUAACAAUAUAAACAUGAGUUUAAUAAUUCUAAGUUAAAGAAAUGUAAUUAAUCCAACACAAUUAUGUCGUCUUGAUUAAAUCGUAUUCUGAAAUCGUGUAUUUGAGAUUUAUUUCUUUAGUUUACUUAGUUUAAAAUCUUAGUUUUUAAUCACCCUCUUCAAACAAAAUAUUUUUAUUCACCAAAGUGUUUUAAAUAACAUUCAUAAAUAAUUCUUUUCACAGUCCCUGUAGGUACGAUAACUCGACAUUUACUUGUCACUUUAUUACUUAUUGCGAUUGUGUACACUUUCACAUUUUCAUCGUUCCAAAAUUUAAACGUGAAGAAAAUGGAAUUGGUUAGGUUGAAAUGCGGAUUUACAAAUGGUAUUGACAUUGGUGCAGUUGGUUCCAAAGGAGGAUUACCUCUGGGUUGGAAAAUUAAUUCUUUGGUCUCUCUCAAAAGCUACUCUCAUUACCAUGUGAAUGUUGGCAUUCAUGACAAUGAAAAUGGCGUAACUUGGAGACUUACUGGGCUUUAUGGAAACCCUGAUGAACGCUAUCGACGGAAGUCUUGGGAGCUACUUCGUCAUUUGGGUAUUGACCAAUCAGUCUCAUGGCUCGUGGUUAGGGAUUUUAAUGAGAUUACAAGCUCUUUUAAAAAGAAAGGGGGACGACUUAGAUCUGAACGACAAAUGGCUGAGUUUAGAAACGUUUUGGAGGAGUGUAGUCUUAAUGAUUUGGGAUUUAUUGGCAGGAGGUUCACGUGGGAGAGAGGAAGAUUUCUGUCCACUAAUAUUCAUGAGAGGCUUGACAGGGGAGUUGCUAGUCUGGAUUGGAUGAAUCUUUUUCGAAAAUAUUAGGUUUAGCAUCUGAGUCAUUCUAUAUCAAAUCAUUGCCUAGUCCUUAUGGAUGCAAUCGAAAAUCUGCAAUGUGGAGAGACCCAUGGGUCUAAGCUGUUCCAUUUUGAAGCCCAAUGGUGUUUGACCAAUCUUUUGAAGAGGCUAGUCGACAGGCUUGGGCUGAUCCAACUGUUAGUGUCCCGGGUAAGUUAACUAAGGCAGGUCAACAGUUUAAACUUUGGAGCUGUUCAAAGACUCAGACGCAAAAACAACAUCGAAUUUUUUUGGAGAAACGCCUGUUUGACCUCUAUGAUCAGGAUCCUACUGAUGAGAUUUUGGCAGAAAUUAUGGAGGUGCAAUUAGGUUUGAACUUGGAAGCUAACAAAAAGGAAGUUUUUUGGGAACAACGUGUAAGGGUGAAUUGGUUGCAAAAUGGUGAUAGAAACACGAGUUUCUUUCACAAAGUUACUGUUUCUCGUCAUAAUCGUAAUCGAAUUUUGGGUUUGGAAGAUGAGAAUGGUUUGUAGGUUCUCAAACUGGGGAGAUGAUGCAGGUUGCUUUGAAGCAUUUUGGUGAUCUCUAUACGGCUUCCGAAUCUGAUGGUGAUGACCAACUGCUUGGUCUCGUUGAGCAAAGGAUCACAAAGCGCAUGAAUUAUGAGUUGCUAAAACCUUUUACUGAGGAUGAAAUUUGGCAAGUGGUGAAGACGAUAGUGCCCCUUAAGGCCCCAGAAAUUGACGGGUUUCCAGUAAUGUUCUAUCAAAGGUAUUGGCAUCUUGUUGGGGCUGAAAUUUCUAGCUAUUGCUUGUCUGUUUUAAAAGGGGAGAUUGAUAUGGGCGAAAUCAAUAAAACCCACCUAGUGUUAAUUCCAAAAGUUGAGAAACCAAAAAAUCUCUUUCAAAUUCAUCCUAUAAGUUUAUAUAAUAUGAUUUAUAAGAUUAUUACAAAAGUUUUGGUGGAUCGGAUAAGUAUAGCGCUGGGUUACUGUAUUGAUAAAGCUCAAGGGGCUUUUAUACUAGGAAGACACAUAUCGGAUAAUGUUUUAAUCGCUUAUGAGGUCUUACAUUCCUUUAAAAUAAAGAAACGGAGUAAAUAAGGGAAUUUUGCACUUAAACUCUAUAUGAGUAAAGCGUACGAUCGAGUUGAAAGAGACUUUAUGGCUGGUAUGAUGUCUAAGUUGGGUUUCCAACCUGAUUGGAUCGUUCUUAUCAUGCGGUGCGUUUGUUCAAUUACCUAUACUAUGGGCAUUAAUGAGGGUAUUAGUGAAGGCUUUUCUCUGACACGGGGGUUGCGACAAGGUGACCCGCUCAGCCCUUAGCUUUUCUUAAUCUGCACUGAAGGUCUCUCUCUAUUGCUGAAUGAGGCAAAACAUAAAAAUCUGAUAAGGGGAGCUCCGAUUGGAAGGGAAAGAUUUGCGAUUAAGCACUUGUUGUUUGCUGAUGAUUGCAUUCUUUUUGGUGAUGCUUCGGAGGAUGGGGCUCAUAUAGUUCGUAAUAUAAUCAUGGAAUAUGAAUUAGUUUCAGGGCAACAAGUAAAUUUUGAUAAAUCACUUAUUUACUUUAGAGCAAGUGUGGGCCGACAUGAGAGGGAUCAAGUCACCAACAUUCUGGGAGUGCAGGUGGUCACAAACCCGGAGAAAUAUUUGGGCUUACCAAUGAUGGUUGGGAAAGGAAGAGAUGGGCUUUUGUAAAUUUUGUGGACAGAUUCAGAAAUAGGAUUGAGAGUUGGAGUCUCCGGUACCUUUCGAUGGGGAGUAAGGAAGUAUUCAUCAAGGCGGUGUUACAAGCAAUUCCUGUCUACGUUAUGCAAUGCUUUGCUUUACUAAAAACCUUAUGUCAAAAGUUAGAAGGUAUUUUAAACAAAUUCUAGUGGUCUAAUAGUAAAUCAACUAAAGGUAUUCGUUGGAGUACUUGGAGUGAACUAUGUACUUCCAAAGCUGAAGACGGGCUAGGAUUUCGGGACCUCUUUUUGUUUAAUAAAGCUCUACUUGCUAAGCAAGUUCAGCGACUUUUAUCCCAACCCGAUUGUCUUUCGGCAAAAUUUUUUAAGCUCGUUAUUAUCCUUUUACUAAUAUUAUGUCAGCUAAAGUUGGUUCUCACCCCUCCUUUUCCUGGAGAAGCAUAUGCAGUGCUAGGGAGUUGAUUGCGGAUGGCUUACUUUGGCGAAUUGGCAGUGGUGAGACUGUGAAUAUCUGGAAUGAUCCUUGGCUGCCUGGUCCUGGUAAUAGUGGAUUAUUAAUUCAGAAUAUUAGUACUCAUUGGUCUACAGUGAACCAUUUAAUUGAUGAAAAUUCGGGUACCUAGAACAAAGACGUGAUCUGCAGGAUUGUUGACCAAUAACAAGCUAGACGCAUUUUCAAUAUUCCCCUUGCAAAGUUCAGAGCUCAGGAUAUGUUGGUUUGGCAUCAUGAUGCCACCGGGGAGUACUCUGUGAAGAGUAGGUAUUGGGCUUUGGUUACAAGAAAAUUUCAGCUGUCUGAAUACAACUCGAAUACUACAAACAAUUACAAAAAGUUCUACAAGUUACUUUGGGAUAUACUUCCUUCUAAAAUUAAAAUACACAUGUGGCGGUUAAUUAAAGAUUAUGUGCCUCAUUUUAAUAACUUAAUCAAGCGAAGUCUAAGAGUUGUCAAUGUUUGCCCUCUGCGCAAGGAGGCUCCGGAGGAUCCUGACCACUUAUUGUGGUUUUGUGGUGCAUUACGGCAGCUUCGGCAGUCUCUAAAUCUCUCGAUUGAUCUCAGCAGGAAUACCUCACAUUACAAAAAUCGAUUAGUAAGCAUUUUUAUUGCAACUGAUGAGGGUACCAAAAAAUUGUUAAUCAUUUCUUUUUGGGUCCUUUGGUUUAAACGAAAUAAGAUGGUAUGAAGGUCUCAAUUUCUCUAUGCAGGAUCUGUUAGGUUUUGUUCAGUGCAUAAGAGUUGAGUUUGAGUAAAGUUUCUGUUUUUUCUCUUAGAUCUUAAGUGACUGAGUUCUAGUGACCCCCUAAUACUAGGUUUAUCAAAUUAAAUUUUGAUGCCUCUUUUAAUGGUGAAUCUAAUACCUUUAUUGCGACUAUUAUAGCCCAUAAUGAUGUGGGUCAAAUAAUGGGUGCAUGUACUUACCCUUAUGUAGGCGUUGCAGAUGCUUUUGUUGCAGAAGCUAAGGCUUGUGAACGAGCGCUCCUCUUCGAGAUUGAUAUGGGUUUCAGGAUGGUUAUUUUGAAAGGGGAUUCCUUAACGAUUAUCAAAAAACUUAAAUCUAAAAGGGAGGAUAGAUCCAUUCUCAGACCAAUUUCUCAGAGUAUUCAGAUGCUAGAGGAUUAUUUAGAGGAAGUGGCUUACCAUUUUGUCCCAAGAGAUGUUAAUAGGGUGGCGCAUACUAUGGCUUUGGAGGGGCGUAGAAGACUAUCUCCAUGUUUUUAGGUUGAAGAGGCACCAGAUUCUGUCGAAGAAUUGGUAGCAGAGGACUGGUCUGUUUGGCUUCGUCAAUGUUGAGGGGGUUUUGUUGAGCUUUGAAGUUUGGAGAAGGUUCCUUGAAUCUCCAAUAAUUGGUUUUUCAAAGCUGGUUCCUUUCCCGUUUUAGCUACGAUGGUUUUUCUAUUGUUCAACGAGAAGGUUUUGGUUGGUAUUCUUUGUUGGAUGUUCUUUUGGGGAUUGUUUUGUGGUUUUCGUUUAUGGUUUUUGGUUCUCUGUGUGCUUUCGUUUUCCUAUUUUGUUAGGUAGUUUCUGUUUUGUUGUCUUUUCAUUUUCUUUGGGGCGUUGUUUGGUCAGUUAUUUUUUGAGCUAAUCCCCUUAUUAAUGAAUUCUAAUUUUCAAAGAAAAAAAAUGGCUAAUGCUAUGGAAAAUCAUACCUAGUAUGUUAUGUGCAGUAGCUUUUAUUAAAAACUAAAAAGAUGUUGAGAAAUCAGAGCCGUUGAUUUUUUUCAUUGGUUCGUGUUUGUGUUACAUUUUUUAGCUC